rnacentral:misc_RNA from 1 species
GGUACGGAGGUUGAUGGACGUCAAGUCCUCAACGGAAGGGCGCGUGAGUGGCAAUUGGAAUGUUUGUGCUGUCUGGCUCCAUGAUCAUGGUCAUCGAACUUUCAGCACACAACCCUUCUCAUGUUCGCCUUGUGUCAUUCCGGCCCCCGGCGUUCAAUUAUGGUUCUUGUGUUGCCUACCCGUUGAGUGGUAUUCAUGUGCCUCUUAUGACCCGUUCCAUCCAGGCCCCGUCUAAAGGUCGUUGGAGGAUUCAAAAGGAAUGCGUGUGAUGUGUUACCUGUGAAUUGUAAUGGCUUGCGUUCUCACACGUGUCUAGUGUUCCCUUGAAUGCGGUGCAUGCGGCAAAUGCGGGCUGAUGAGUCUGCCCCGUUCAGUCCCUUCAAUUUAUGGGUUCCCUUGAAUAACACUUUGCCGGGGUGUCGGUCUUGCUUAACCGUUCGUGGUGGCAACACUUGCACGUCAAGCAAAGGCGUUAAUG